AUUGAACGCUGGCGGCAGGCCUAACACAUGCAAGUCGAACGAGUGGCGGACGGGUGAGUAAUGUCUGGGAAACUGCCUGAUGGAGGGGGAUAACUACUGGAAACGGUAGCUAAUACCGCAUACCAUCGGAUGUGCCCAGAUGGGAGUAGCUAGUGGGUGGGGUAACGGCUCCCCUAGGCGACGAUCCCUAGCUGGUCUGAGAGGAUGACCAGCCACACUGGAACUGAGACACGGUCCAGACUCCUACGGGAGGCAGCAGUGGGGAAGAUUGCACAAUGGGCGCAAGCCUGAUGCAGCCAUGCCGCGUGUAGGAAGAAGGCCUUCGGGUUGUAAAGCACUUUAAGCGGGGAGGCGUUACUCGCAGAAGAAGCACCGGCUAACUUCGUGCCAGCAGCCGCGGUAAUUC
rnacentral:rRNA from 1 species